rnacentral:rRNA from 1 species
GUAUUGGACUACCAUGGCAGUAACGGGUAACGAAGAAUUAGGGUUCGAUUUCGGAGAUGGAGCAUGAGAAACGGCUACCACAUCUAAGGAAGGCAGCAGGCGCGUAAAUUACCCAAUCCUGACUCAGGGAGGUAGUGACAAGAAAUAGCAAACCGGGAACCUCAUGGUUUCACGGUAUUGCAAUGAGAACAAUUUAAAACCCUUAGCGAGAAUCAAGUGGAGGACAAGUCUGGUGCCAGCACCCGCGGUAAUUCCAGCUCCACUAGCGUAUAUUAAAGUUGUUGCAGUUAAAAAGCUCGUAGUUGAACCUCUGUCUGGGGCUAGUUUUGGCUUUGGCCAGGCUAGUUCUAGGCAUCCGCCUACAAGACUUAGAGGGCAUUCAGUUGUUCACUAGGAGGAGUAGGCAUUUUACUUUGAAAAAAUUAGAGUGUUUAAGGCAGGCAAACGCCCGCAUAUAUUAGCAUGGAAUAAUAGAAUAGGACACUUUUCCAUUUCGUUGGUUUGGAAUCGUGUAAUGAUUAAUAGGGACAGUUGUGGGCAUUUGUAUUUAAUUGUCAGAGGUGAAAUUCUUGGAUUUAUUAAAGACAAACUAACGCGAAAGCAUUUGCCAAGGAUGUUUUCAUUAAUCAAGAACGAAAGUUAGGGGAUCAAAGACGAUCAGAUACCGUCCUAGUCUUAACUAUAAACUAUUCCGACUCAAUGUUUGACUGGCUUAUAUAACCAGUUGAGCGUUGUAUGAGAAAUCAAAGUCUUUAGGUUCUGGGGGGAGUAUGGUUGCAAAGCUGAAACUUAAAGGAAUUGACGGAAGAGCACAACCAGGAGUGGAUUCUGCGGCUUAAUUUGACUCAACACGGGGAAACUUACCAGGUUAAAACAAUAGUGGGAUUGACAGUUUGAGAGCGCUUUCUUGAUUGGUUGGGUGGUGGUGCAUGGCCGUUCUUAGUUGGUGGAGUGAUUUGUCUGCUUAAUUGCGUUAACGAACGAGACCUUAACCUGCUUACUAGACUGGCGAUCAUCAAUCGUUAGCUCUUCUUAGAGGGACUUUGGUUGUUUUAACUCCAAGGAAGUUUGAGGCAAUAACAGGUCUGUGAUGCCCUUAGAUAUCCUGGGCCGCACGCGUCAUACAAUGACUAGUUCAGAAAGUUUUCUCCUGACCCGAAAGGGGAUGGGUAAUCUUGAUAAUACUAGUCGUGUUAGGGAUCGAUCUUUGCAAUUAUAGAUCUUGAGCGAGGAAUUCCUAGUAAGUGCGGUUCAUCAGACCGUACUGAUUACGUCCCUGCUCUUUGUACACACCACCCGUCGCUUCUACCGAGUGGGUGGUCCGGUGAGAUAAUUGAACUUCGCAGGUAACUGAGAGGAAAGAUUAUCAAACCUAUCCACCUCGAGGAAGAAGAAGUCGUAACAAGGUU